AGGUGCUGCAUGGCUGUCGUCAGCUUGUGUCGUGAGAUGUUGGGUUAAGUCCCGCAACGAGCGCAACCCUCGCCAUUAGUUGCCAUCAUUUAGUUGGGCACUCUAAUGGGACUGCCGGUGUCAAACCGGAGGAAGGUGGGGAUGACGUCAAGUCCUCAUGGCCUUUAUGACCAGGGCUACACACGUACUACAAUGGCCGAUACAAAGGGCAGCCACAGUGCGAACUGGAGCAAAUCCCUUAAAGUCGGUCUCAGUCCGGAUCGGAGUCUGCAACUCGACUCCGUGAAGUUGGAAUCGCUAGUAAUCGUGGAUCAGCAUGCCACGGUGAAUACGUUCCCGGGCCUUGUACACACCGCCCGUCACACCACGGAAGUUGGUUGUACCAGAAGUAGUUGAGCGAACCUUCGGGGCGCAGACUACCAAGGUAUGGCUGGUAACUGGGGUGAAGUCGUAACAAGGUA
rnacentral:rRNA from 1 species